GACCACGUGGUUUGCAUACAAAU
rnacentral:siRNA from 1 species